AUGAACGCUGGCGGCGUGCCUAAUACAUGCAAGUCGAGCGAACGGACGAGAAGCUUGCUUCUCUGAUGUUAGCGGCGGACGGGUGAGUAACACGUGGAUAACCUACCUAUAAGACUGGGAUAACUUCGGGAAACCGGAGCUAAUACCGGAUAAUAUUUUGAACCGCACGGUUCAAAAGUGAAAGACGGUCUUGCUGUCACUUAUAGAUGGAUCCGCGCUGCAUUAGCUAGUUGGUAAGGUAACGGCUUACCAAGGCAACGAUGCAUAGCCGACCUGAGAGGGUGAUCGGCCACACUGGAACUGAGACACGGUCCAGACUCCUACGGGAGGCAGCAGUAGGGAAUCUUCCGCAAUGGGCGAAAGCCUGACGGAGCAACGCCGCGUGAGUGAUGAAGGUCUUCGGAUCGUAAAACUCUGUUAUUAGGGAAGAACAUAUGUGUAAGUAACUGUGCACAUCUUGACGGUACCUAAUCAGAAAGCCACGGCUAACUACGUG
rnacentral:rRNA from 1 species